rnacentral:rRNA from 1 species
GGUAAUUCCAGCUCCAAUAGCGUAUAUUAAAGUUGUUGCAGUUAAAAAGCUCGUAGUUGAACCUUGGGUCUGGCUGGCCGGUCCGCCUCACCGCGAGUACUGGUCCGGCUGGACCUUUCCUUCUGGGAUCCCAUGGCCUUCACUGGCUGUGGGGGGAACCAGGACUUUUACUGUGAAAAAAUUAGAGUGUUCAAAGCAGGCCUUUGCUCGAAUACAUUAGCAUGGAAUAAUAGAAUAGGACGUGCGGUUCUAUUGUUGGUUUCUAGGACCGCCGUAAUGAUUAAUAGGGAUAGUCGGGGGCGUCAGUAUUCAGCUGUCAGAGGUGAAAUUCUUGGAUUUGCUGAAGACUAACUACUGCGAAAGCAUUCGCCAAGGAUGUUUAUUAAUCAGGGAACGAAAGUUAGGGGAUCGAAGACGAUCAGAUACCGUCGUAGUCUUAACCAUAAACUAUGCCGACUAGGGAUCGGGCGGUGUUUCUAUGAUGACCCGCUCGGCACCUUACGAGAAUAAAGUUUUUGGGUUCUGGGGGGAGUAUGGUCGCAAG